rnacentral:rRNA from 1 species
AGUGAACGCUGGCGGUAGGCCUAACACAUGCAAGUCGAACGGCAGCACAGUAAGAGCUUGCUCUUACGGGUGGCGAGUGGCGGACGGGUGAGGAAUACAUCGGAAUCUACUUUUUCGUGGGGGAUAACGUAGGGAAACUUACGCUAAUACCGCAUACGACCUACGGGUGAAAGCAGGGGAUCUUCGGACCUUGCGCGAUUGAAUGAGCCGAUGUCGGAUUAGCUAGUUGGCGGGGUAAAGGCCCACCAAGGCGACGAUCCGUAGCUGGUCUGAGAGGAUGAUCAGCCACACUGGAACUGAGACACGGUCCAGACUCCUACGGGGGGCAGCAGUGGGGAAUAUUGGACAAUGGGCGCAAGCCUGAUCCAACCAUACCGCGUGGGUGAAGAAGGCCUUCGGGUUGUAAAGCCCUUUUGUUGGGAAAGAAAAGCAGCAGGUUAAUACCCCGCUGUUCUGACGGUACCCAAAGAAUAAGCACCGGCUAACUUCGUG